rnacentral:rRNA from 1 species
UACGGAGGGUGCAAGCGUUAUCCGGAUUCACUGGGUUUAAAGGGUGCGUAGGUGGGCCUGUAAGUCAGCGGUGAAAUCUCCGGGCUUAACCCGGAAACUGCCAUUGAUACUAUAGGUCUUGAAUUAUCUGGAGGUAAGCGGAAUAUGUCAUGUAGCGGUGAAAUGCUUAGAUAUGACAUAGAACACCAAUUGCGAAGGCAGCUUACUACGGAUAUAUUGACACUGAGGCACGAAAGCGUGGGGAUCAAACAGG